rnacentral:rRNA from 1 species
UACGGGGGGGGCAAGCGUUGUUCGGAAUUACUGGGCGUAAAGGGCUCGUAGGCGGCCAACUAAGUCAGACGUGAAAUCCCUCGGCUUAACCGGGGAACUGCGUCUGAUACUGGAUGGCUUGAGAUUGGGAGAGGGAUGCGGAAUUCCAGGUGUAGCGGUGAAAUGCGUAGAUAUCUGGAGGAACACCGGUGGCGAAGGCGGCAUCCUGGACCAACACCGACGCUGAGUGAGCGAAAGCCAGGGGAGCAAACGGG